UACGGGGGGAGCAAGCGUUGUUCGGAAUCACUGGGCGUAAAGGGCGUGUAGGCGGGAAGGUAAGUCAGAUGUGAAAUCCCCAGGCUCAACUUGGGAACUGCAUCCGAUACUGGAUGGCUUGAAUUCGGGAGAGGGAUGCAGAAUUCCAGGUGUAGCGGUGAAAUGCGUAGAUAUUGGGAGGAACACCAGUGGCGAAGGCGGCUCACUGGACCGGUACUGACGCUGAUGCGCGAAAGCGUGGGGAGCAAACAGG
rnacentral:rRNA from 1 species